UUAAUCGUCAACACAGGCAGCCAACACAAAUCGCUGCUCGCCAGAGAAGUACAGGUGAAAAACCAGAAACUCAAAGGACUUGGCGGUGUCUCACACCAACCUAGAGGAGCCUGUCCCAUAAUCGAUACCCCACGUUAAACCUAACCUACCUUUGCCUACCAGUCUAUAUACCGCCGUCGCCAGCCUGCCUAAUGAUAGAUACACAGCAGGCAAAAUAGUCUUCACUAGCACGUCAGGUCAAGGUGUAGCUAAUAGGUAGGUUUCAGAUGGGCUACAUUUUCUAAACACAAGAAAACCACCACACGCACUAUGAAAUAUAAGCCGCAAGGCGGAUUUAGCAGUAAGCCGGGCAAGAAAGCCCAGCUGAAAGCUGCCCUGAGACAC
rnacentral:rRNA from 1 species